rnacentral:sRNA from 1 species
AUGACAAAAUGGUAAAAAUGCAAAUCUAAUUCCCAUUCAAACAUUAUCUAAAAAAUAGGGUCAUUUUCCUGAUAAUUUUCAAAUGAAUUUAUUUACUUAUCAAUUAGAUUUUCAAAAAAAAAAAAAUUAUAUAUAUAAAAUGAAAAAAAUACAACUUUUUUUUUUUUACAAAAUAAAACCACUAAAAGAAAAAGUCUCAUUGCACGCUCUUCGCGCAUGUAACGAGGCUAGUACAAUAUUACCUUUUCAAGGAAGAAUUAAAUUUAACCAUUUACUAAAAAAAAAGAAAAAGAAGCAAGCAUGGUCAUUUACAAGCAAUUGAAUUUUAAUUGGAAAACUAAGUACAACACUUGACAUGAGUUUUACUUUAAUCCAAAACUAGGAAAGAAUGUUUAAGAAAAAAAGAUGCUUCAACCGCAGAGACCAGAACCGUAAAAGAAUACGACCAACUUCCAACUGAAAACUACCUACCAACCCCUUAACCUUCUCUCUCUGCCAGUCCUUAUUCAAUAUUCACGCCUCUCUCUCUCUCUCUCUCUCUCUCUCUGUCACAAUCACAAAUAAGAAAAUUGAAUAUCUAAAGAAGAAACCCCACAAUACUGAAAUAACUAAAAGAAGAAAAACCCAAAAAAAAAAAAAAAAAAAAAAAAGAGAAUAAUAAGAAGAUCCAAAAAGCAAGAAGAAACCCCACAAUACUGAAAUAACUAAAAGAAGAAAAACAAAAAAAAAAAAAAAAAAAAAAAACAGAGAAUAAUAAGAAGAUCCAAAAAGCACAAGCACGACUAUUUAUAACAUCUUUGUACCAAACAAACACAAAGCUUUGGUUUUAAACAAAGCUUUGGUUUCAAACAAAGUUGGUCACGUUUCCUUUACCUUCUCUUCCUUCAUCUAACCCCCCACCUAAACCAACUUCUUUGCUUUUACAACUGCCCACAAAACAAAACCCCAUAUUUAUUUUUUAAUUUUAAACCCAGAAUUCUUGGAGUUUCUUUUCCCUUGAAUUUUCAGGUCUGUCUCUCUGUUUUCUCUGAUUCUUGGUAUUCAGUGUUUGGUUUCCCAGAAAGUGAAAGAAAAAAGGAAUCUUUAUAGAAUUGGGUGCUUCAUUUUCAUGGGAAAUUUUGGCAAUUUGGGUUCUUUUGCUUAGCUUUGUUUUUAUGGCAACAAAAGAGAAGGGAGGUUUUCCCUUUUGGGAUUAUAUUUGAUUGUUUCAUCUGGUUGUUGAGUUAUUGGUUGGAUUUUUUAGUAUAAAGCUAUAAUAAAGUUAGUUGUAAAAGCCUAGGCUAACAAUGAAUAUAUGUUUGGGGAUUUUAAUUUCUACUUAGAAUUGAGCUUUGGUUGUGUUCCUAUGUAUUUAAUUAUUUUGGCAUAGAUGAUAAUAUUAUGUUGGCCUGACCUGCUUGUGUAUCAUGUCAUUCACAGACGGUUGAAUGUCUUUCUCUUUUCUUGUUUAUGUGACAUUUUGAUGUUUUGUUAUUUAUUGAUUUUAUAACAUCUACCAUCCUUCAUGUUUAUGGGGUUCCAUAAGAGCAACACAAUCACUAGCAUAUAUUUUCAUAGCCUUCUGUAUUCUGGAAUUUCUUCUGAUUGUAGAAGUAGAAGAUAUUAUUUAUUCAAAUUUCACUAAUGCAUUUUCCGCAUUUAGCAGUUUUGACACCUGUUUAUUUGAACUCAAAAGGUUUCAUAGCUUUUGGUGGCUUGAUAAUGGUCUACUGGGUUGAUGUACAUUCUUGUACUUUGCUUCUUUCUGCCUAUACAUUAGAUUACAGAGCGUUGUUUGUAUUUGUUUCCGUUGGUAUUUGGUAGCAUGUUCAAAUUUUGAAUCCUUUUUCUUUUGCGUGAUGAAUCUAAAUUGAAAUGAAUAAAAUAUGUACUUUGGAUGAUAUACUGGAGUUUUCCUGGAGAGGCAGACAUACUGUGCUUAAGUUUUUUAAAGUAUGUAGUUGAGUUCAAGAGUAAAAUUGUUUUCAAUAAUUUUUUUGUCGUACUAAUUGAAUGACCUUUUUUUUUUAAGUUGAGGCAAUGGUUCAUUAUAUACUGUUAAUCCAUGUUUGCACCUGAGGUCUUACAUAAGUGUUCAUUGCAAAGCACUUACAUUUAUUUUGCAUUCAUUUCAGUUUCGCUUUUUUGCAUCCGUUUCAACCAUGUCAAGUUUGGAGGAACCCCUUGGUGUUGACAAGUUGCCAAGCAUGAGUACUAUUGAUAGGAUUCAGAGGUUCUCAUCUGGUGCUUGCCGGCCAAGAGCAGAGGAUGUGGGAAUGGGGAACUGCUGGAUUGAAGGAAGGAGUUGCAGCUCAUCCAACAGUUGCAAGUGAGUAAAAUUUCAUAUAUUUGUGCUAUUUGUCCUAACAGUGCCUAAACCAUCUUUGUUGUUUAAAUUUACAUCAUACAAUUCCCUUUUCUCCCUAUACGCAUAAGAUAGAUGUAUGAAUGUAUGUGUUACAUUGCUUCUUUUCUUAGUUUUGUUAGCAUAGCCUAGCUAAAUGAGAAAUUGUGUUCACACCCUGGUGGAAUGGGUUUCAAAUUCUGGUCAAAGUGCCAAGCAGAGAUUUAUUGCCAAAGAGGAUACCAUACUCGUACUGAAACAAUUUAUAUCGAGAUUUUCCUUUUAUCAUCUACUUUGAGUGCUAAAAGUAAUAGCCUUUUAUUAUUUCCUUCAAAUAUAUGCUUUCAUAUAUUAAAAGGAAAAGAAGAGGCGGCUGCAAUGCCCCUUAUCUUUUAGUUUAUCUCUUUCGGAAGACAAUUGAAAUGCACAAUUUAAACACUUACAUAAAGGAAAUAUCAGAAUAUCUUGGAACUUUCAUUUCUAGAUAAGGAUUAAAACUAUUUUUCAUGCAAUCAUUUCGAGGGCCAAUAGCUUACUGCUCCUAAUCAUUUCUUGCCAUUUCUAUACCUCUUUUGCAUAGGGCUAAUUUUUGGAUACAUCAGCCAUUUAUAUUAUUGAUAUAAUAAUUAUUACAUUGGUUUACUUCCUAAUUUUAAUUAAAUAAUUUCACAACCUAAACCUCUAUCCAUUUGCAGUGAAGAUUAUGAAAACUAUUCAAGGGAGGCAUUCCCAUGGAAAAGACACACAAGAGACGUGUCUCAAGGUGACUCCCUCAACAAAAGGUCUUUGAGCUUAGGCCGAAAUACCUUGGUCUUUAGGAAUGUUUGUGAUUCAUGGUACGUUCCAGACCAUCAAUACAACUCUAAUGGCAAUCACCAAGACAUACGACAGAUGACAAAUAAGGUGAUUUGAUUUAUGGAUUGAACUUUUUGUGUCUGUAAUUUGUCUUUAUAUGAAUAUUACUGUAAUAAUACUUUGUUUGAUAUGUAGAAUUCUCUUUCCUGAGAUGAUAAAAUUGUUCUUUUGUCAUGGUGUGGGUAUUUAUCCAUGUCUCCAUAAUAUAGGGGAAUUUUCCCCUCCUUUUCCUCUCAUACUUCUUUUAGUUCACAAUUCUAUUUUUCUAUUUUUCAGAUUGUCAAUAACUUAUUUGCAUUGUUCUCACUCUGAUCUUUCAUUGAUUAAUGCAGUUUUUGAAAGGUAUACCAAAUUUCGUAAAGAUAGUAGAAGUUGGUCCAAGAGAUGGAUUACAAAAUGAGAAGAAUCUUGUAUCUACUGCUGUAAAGGUCGAAUUGAUUCAGAGACUAGUAUCUUCUGGACUGUCAGUUGUUGAGGCUACAAGUUUUGUAUCUCCUAAAUGGGUACCUCAGGUAACAUUGUUUACUAUUUCAUGUUCACAUUGUAAAUUUGAUUCUAUCUUAUUGUACUAAAGCUUUAUAAGUUAGGUUUUUGUCGGAAUAUUUUGACAUAGAGAAGCUGAUAACUGCAACCAGUUUUUGUAAAUUUGCCAUCAAUAUAUCAUCCCUUGAUAUGCUUAUAUUGAUAUUUUCCCUAUAUAUUAUUCUUGUAAAGGCAUUAGAAUUGGAUACUAAUUUUGAAGGCUGACUGAUGACACCACAUAGUUGGGAUGAAAGUUAUGGAGGUUGACCACUGACAAUGUUUUUCUUUCAGAAUUUGUGGAUUGUGUUGUAGCUGCAUGUAUUAUAUGGGUUGUUUCAGAAUUUAACAUCUUGCUAUGCUGUUGGGAGUUGGAACAAAUAGAACAAGUGAACUUGUAUUUUCGCAUUACAGAGAUAUAAUGGCCAUAUUUCUUGAGGAACCUUUUCAAAAAUUCAAGCUGGUAUAGAGUGGCACAUAGAAAUAUCCUUAUCGAUAAACUAGAGGAAAUCUCUUUUACAUUUGAAUUGGCACUUGUAUAGAAAAAAAAAAAAAAAAAAACAAAAUCGGGAGCAAAAAGUGAAAAGGAAAAUUCGAAGGGAUAUUACAUGUGAUUCGAUAAUAGUUUUUAGCAGCAACCCUUAGUAACUCAGAACUAUCUUGAACAAUCUUCCCUAUUCAAGUGGGAAAAAAAAUGUCGGGCCACAUUUUGAACCUGGUAAGUGCUACUUAAAUUUUGUCUAGUUUUAUUUAACACUUUCAAGUGGAAAAAAAAAGCUUUAUUUAAAAUCUCAGCAACUAUGCUCUUUAAGGUUAGUCUGGCUAGGUUCUAUAUUAUUGAGUCAGAAAGCAUCAAGAAAAACAAAUACUAAAAAUGGAUGAUAUUGGAUAGUAAGUUUAUAUGUAAAAUAAAAGAAUGGAAGAGUUUGGCACGUGUGCUUCCCUGUCAGACUAUUAUCUUGUCUGCAUAAUUGCAAAUGGAAGAGUAACAUAUUUCGUGAUCUUUUGGAGGCACAUGUGAGCAAUGAACCAAAACCUUUUAUGACUUCCAUUUGUGGGGUUCACCAUGCAGCAAUCUGUAAUAGUAAUUGGCCAUACCUUUAACAGCUCCUUUGAAGCAUGUAAUUUAAAGCAUGGAUCAGUCAUUCUUCUUUUGGCUUGAGAUGUGUACCAUUGGAUUUAGAGGGAUGUUUAGCAGUUAUCUGUAUAAAACCUUUUCAAUUGAUUGCUGCUACUUGUUAGACCAGUGAGUCUGUCUGUGAGUUUGAUGCAUCUCUACAUCCUUGUGAAAAUUUGAACAUGCUUGAAGUUGGUGAUAAACCAAGUGAAACACUUUGAACCUUUAUUCUUUGUCCUAAUUACUGAAUUCUUUUUGGAUUUUGAGCUUUUAGAAUAUUUCCUUGGAAGAAUUGAACACGUCAUUCUUUAUUUUUAUGGUUUUGCCUGAUCAAUGUAUGCAUAUGAGACAGCAUUCAUAACAGUCUUGGAGGUAGCUUGAAAGUUGCCUUGUUAUUCUACUCUUUUAUGAGGAAUGAAAUCUAGUGUUAAUGGGCAUGAAAUCUAGAUACAUUAUGGUAUAAUAUGCUGAGAUAACCUUUUUUGAGGAGUUACACCAAGUAGAAGUUGGUUGGUGAACAAAUAGAUAUGACAACAAACUUUUUUCUGUUAGCUAAUUGACUGACCAAGAUCUUGCUUCCUUGGAAAGUACUGUUGGUUUUUCCAUUCACAUCCUAUUAGAGACACAACCACGGCUGCUAUGAUUGAAGGAAUUUUAGAUCACAUCUGCUUAGAAACCAUUUGAAAUGUUCUGGUUUAAGAUUGUUAUGUUUUGUAGUUCAGUGACCUAAUAGAAACUAACCUGAAAAUUGAAGGGUCAAUUGCCAUGGUGCAUUCAGAGGUUGAAUGCUUAUCAGAAAACACUCCUCCCCCACUCAAAAAAAUGAGAGAAUAUUAGAGUUUUAUGGGCACUGUACUUUUGUAUGUUCCUGUCUCUGAUCAAGAAUUCAUCUUCUCAUGGAAAUUUUUUGUUUUUCCCAUUAGAGAAUAAGGAUCUCUGGUGAAAGGAAAAUUAUAAUUCAUAAACCUUCUGUAUUUUCAAGAAUAUUCUAUAGUAUUUUACUUCAACUGUAUCAAUGGUUGUGAAUUGAUUGGUUCUGAAAAAUAAACUGCGUCAUGGUCAUGAAUUGAAUUUUUGUGACAAAUUUUGAUUGUUUUAUAAUUACAUGCUCAUUGUCACUGAAUAAGCAGGUUCAUUUAGAUUUUCAAUCUGAAAGUUGAUUGUCUUUAUGGUUUGUGGACCAUUUCACUUAUUCUUUUAUAGAAUGUUCUGAAUGUUUAAUUCUUAAUUUUUUGUCAAAUGUGCUUUGUUCUUACUCUCAUUGUAACUGAAGAUCCUACUUUAAUAUUCUUUGAUUACCUUCUCAGCUAGCAGAUGCCAAGGAUGUAAUGGCGGCAGUUUGUAAAUUGGACGGUGCUAGAUUUCCUGUUCUGACUCCUAACUUAAAAGUGGGUAAUCUGGAAAAACAACAAUAGUUCAAUAAAUGGCAUAAUAUUCUGAUGGAGAUUCUCUGAACUGCUUCAUCUUCUUCUUCCAGGGCUUUGAAGCUGCUGUUGCAGCUGGUGCGAAGGAAGUAGCAGUAUUUGCCUCAGCUUCUGAGUCAUUUUCAAAGUCAAACAUCAAUUGUAGCAUUGAAGAGAGUCUUGUACGUUAUCGUGCUGUUACUCGUGCUGCUAAAGAGCUCUCAAUUCCUGUUCGUGGGUAUGUCUUAUUUUUCUGUUCCCAUUGAAUCUCUCUCUCUUUGCCUCUCUGUACACGUGCGAAUGCGUAAUGUUUACCAGUUGUCUCAUCUUCCUGUUUAUAAGCCACAGCUAACAUAAGUUGGUUAUUUAUAUUUCCAAUGGUCUUUUGACCAAAUGGCAUCUCCUCUCAUAAAUAAGUGUUUCAUUGGAUCAAUUCUGUAUGGGUGUGUGAGUUGGUUAUUUGUUCUAGAUUAAUCUCUCCGGGAAGGAUUUUAAUGUCAGUGCUCUGCUGUUUCUUCCAUACACUUGACACUGCCCAUUUUGGCUUUGCUGAAACUAUGUUAUUUAGGGAAGAAAAAAAAUGUUGUUAUGCAGUGUCAGCUACUCCCUAUUAAAGCAUGGGCAUGAAUGACUGGUAUCUAAUGCUAUAUUACCUUCUUUCUAGAUGUGCUUCUGUUUCACAAGAAAUCUCCAAUUUAGGAUAUAUUAUUUUGGGGACCUAUUAAUUUAUUUCCCAUUAUCCCCUUGACUAUCACUUCCGCAUUUCCACCUGCUCUUAUAUAUAUACAUGAUUGUGGCUUUCUUUUACAUUUUGUUCACUUUAUCUUUACACAGUAGUUGGCUACAGAAUAUAUGUUCCAUGUCGUAACGUGUAUAUAAAGACCAGGAAAGAGAAACAAAUGGCUUUGAUUUGUGACUAAUAGCCUACACGCAUUGUGGCACUGGUUUGGUCUUUGACCCCUUUGUAGCAUCUGAUACACAUUACUUUCGGAAACUUCAAUAUAUGUAAAUUGUGAUGUAACCAUGCUGGACAUGACAUGACAAGAAUGUAUUUGUGAUAUAUAUCAAAUAGGCCUCUUGGUCAGACUGCAUGUCCAGCAGGCCUGUUCAACAAAAGGAGAAGAAUGAAUUUCUAUUUCAAUUUACUGUAGAUUGCUUCAGUAACAGCUUUAUAAUGUUUCCAUUUGUGUAGAUCAUUUUAUACAAUAGAGACCCAGUACAAUAUAUAUGCCUUAUGUUAGCCUAGGGUAUGGAACAGUAUUUUCUUCAGUUCUCUAUUGGUUUCAAGAAUAAAAUUAGACAUUGCAUAUAGAGUUCAAAUUAUGGAUUCUAUGUACUAGUACAUGUUGCUUACCAUGACCUCUCCCAGACCUUGCAAAAGUGGGAGCUUUGUUCAUUGGGUAAGACAUUUUUUAAUGUACUAUUAUAUGUUUACAUCAUUAUUCUUUUAGGUGGGCUGCAUGUGUUAAUGCUUCUUUUGAAAAUAAACAUUAUGUUUUAUAAUAUUUAAGUGGCUCUGAGAUGAACGAGUUCGAAUUGAACUUUGAUAGGUAUGUAUCGUGUGUAGUUGGCUGUCCAGUAGAAGGAGCAAUCCCUCCUUCAAAAGUAGCAUAUGUGGCAAAGGAACUGUAUGACAUGGGUUGCUUUGAAAUUUCCCUUGGUGACACAAUUGGAGUUGGUACGCCAGGUAAAUGUUUUUACAGACUUCUCUUCUGUAUGAAAAGAUAUGUUUGGUUCCAUUAGAAGUGAUUAUUGAGCAAGUUUGCUCUUGCAACUCGCUUCAAGUUGCUAGAAAUUUCAGGACUCAGAAGGAUUUAAAAAAAAUAAAAUUUUUUAGGCAUCAUACUUUGGAGAAGGUUGCAUCACGCAGUCCAAAAACAAAGUUUCAUAUAUUUAAAAUUUUAGAAAACAUAUUCUUUAUUGAAUAUAAAGCAUUACUUCCAUAUAAGUAGAUGAUUAAUAUCUAUUCAUAGCCAUACUUGGACUUCUUGUAACCCUAAUAAGAGUUAGACCCCUUGUACUUUUACUACUAAACCUAAACUAUAUAACUAAAGUAAUAUUAAACCUAAAAUAAGACUGAAUGGACCAUUAGUGCAGCACAUGUCUAGAACCAGAAAAUUACACAAUUGCCUGACUCUUUAAAAAAAAAAAAAAAAAAAAAAAUUAAAGAAACUUGACCUGAAACUAAUUAACGCUAAAAGACAUAAUUAACAUGAAUUUCAUACAUCCAAAAAUAUUUUUGGGAUCCCCCUCCCUUCCACCUUUGCAAUGCUCCACUACUUGCAGUGCUUGAAAUUCUGGUUAGUGGAAUUGAUUAUUGGAUCCUUUAAAUGCUCAUUUAUAAUGGUUUUACUAAGAGAUAUUUGAAUCUCUUUAGGGCCUUUUAAGAAUAUAUUUCCUCAUGUCAAUCUUCCAUCUUGGCAUUUCCUAUGCUAAACAUUUUAGUAUUUGUCAAUCAUCUCACAUAUCCUUCUCUUUUCUUUCUUCUGUUCUCUUUACCGAUCUAUGUAAAAACAGAUCAGUUAAAAGAGUGCCAAUACAAAGAGUGCCUUGACUUUAUCAAUUUUAUUUAGAUUAGCAAUUCCCUUUUCCAUCUCCCUCUCCCAUGGAGUAUUGAACUUGGAUUGUCCACUGGUCUCUCUUUCGUAUCUCUAACCAUUUAUCUUUCAUGAUCUCUCAUUAAUACUCCCAAGUUUAUGUGAAAAUUAUUUUGGUACUCUUUGUUUAGUCAUUGGUUUCCUUUACUUUAUAGUGACUCUUGCAUUAUGCUGUUUUAGUACUUCCAAUAUUCUUAGGGGAUUUUUUUUUUCUUAUUUCAUUAAUUUAGCAGUUUUUCUUACUCACCAACUUAAUCACCUAGGCUACAGCAUCAUAUACCACUAGGUUCUAUCUUGAUUAUAUUCUUCUACAGCUUCUUAACUUCAAAUUGAGUUAAUUCCUUCAGGUUAAUCUUGUAUCAGCGGAACAGGUUCUAUCUUGAUUAUAUUCUUCUACAGCUUCUUAACUUCAAAUUGAGUUAAUUCCUUCAGGUUAAUCUUGUAUCAGCGGAACAUCAAGUCAUAUACUUAAGUACAUCAUGUAGUAUUUGUUAGUAAUUAUAUAGAAAACCUUUUCAUUAUUAUUAUUAUUAAUGUCUCCAAACUGUUUGUUGCUCACCUUUGAUGCUCUAAAAUAUUGUUCACCUUGUCAUUAUUAUUAUUGCGGAUUCAUCUAAUGCUGGGUUCAUUGUAAAUACCAGCCCUCCAAUCCCCUUAUUUCGUUUGCAACCAGAAAAAAGAAAAAGAGAGAGAGAGAAUCCAAGUGUUCACUUAUAUUAAAAUUAGAAAGUUUUCUAUGUUCCUUCUGCCACUCUUUCCCACCAUGAUUAGAUAUUCUGACUAAUGCCUUAGAUUUAGCUUCCCUUGUUUUAUAGUUUGGUUUCCUCAUUUUCUAUACAAUUUCCAUGAUUUGUAGUGCUCAUUACCAUCACAACUUUCGCAUUACAGCUUAAAUGCCUACAAAUGGUGGUCCCUUCUCUUCCAAUCUCCUGGAAACUAUUCCAAAUUAUUACAAACAAAUAUAGUUGCUGUAACUUUACAUCACCUUAAUUCUAUUUCUCUCAAUUGCCUUUCAUUAGUAUAAUUAUCUUUCCCACUUAUAUAAAUAAUCAGUUUCUUUUUACUGUUAGUUUAUUCCCUUCAUUUUUCAUUUUACAAGUUCGGGACCUGGUAUGGGACCAUCUCUCUCUCUCUCUCUCUCCCCUCAUUACACAAUAAAGUUAACAAAAAUUAUUUAUUGCACUUUGAGCUUAUUCUUACAAUGUUUUCCAAUGAUAAUAAGAGGUAUUAGUGCAUUAUUUAAUGCUUUUGAUAGAAUAUAGAAAGAACGGCAUUUAAUUACACAGUGCAGUUGUUCUUCACUAGGCACAUAAUGAUUAUUCAACGUUGAGGGUUUGGUAGCUGACUUUUUUCUUCAAUACGUUUGUUGUGGGCUAAAAAAGUCUUAACUUUUAGGCUUGUAUAAGUAUUUAUCUAUUUUUAAUCUCUUCUUCCUGUUUUCUUUGGUAUAGGGACUGUUGUUCCCAUGCUUGAAGCUGUAAUGGCUGUUGUUCCCGUUGAAAAGCUUGCUGUUCACUUCCACGACACUUAUGGGCAAUCUCUUCCAAAUAUUCUUAUAUCCCUCCAAGUAAGCCAUCAAUUUACCAGAUCUAAUUGUGCCUGGUAUUGGUGGCAGGCACUUGACUAUGACCUCUGUUCUGGGUGAAGCAGUUUGAAACCCAUAUUAGUUGGCUUUCACCUAAGGUUUUGAUUUGAAGAAAUGAUUCUAUGAUCACUUAAUUCAGGACAGAAUGCCUUUGGAGUAUAAUAUUUUAGCAUUUAUGCCUCAGCAGCUUUUCAUGUGAAUGAAUGGUCUUAAGUGUCCACGACAUGACAUGUAUUUAGUUAAGGAAGUAAAAAUAGAAGAGGGGUUUCACUUAGGACUCCAGCAGUCCAGCUGCAGUUUUUAUGCUUAAACCAGGGAAACUUUCAUAUUGUUGCAAAUCUGAUAAUUUAUUCAGUGAACUUAUAUGAUUUGUUUCUCAACAGAUGGGGAUAAGCACGCUGGAUUCCUCUAUUGCUGGUCUUGGUGGGUGUCCAUAUGCUAAAGGAGCUUCGGGGAACGUUGCCACAGAGGAUGUCGUGUACAUGCUUAAUGGUCUAGGUGUAAAAACAAAUGUGGAUCUGGCUAAGCUCAUGUUGGCCGGGGAUUUCAUCAGCAAGCAUUUGAGUCGCCCAUCUGGUUCAAAGACUGCCACUGCUUUGAACCGAGUAACAGCCGAUGUCUCUAAGAUGUAA